UACGUAGGGUGCAAGCGUUGUCCGGAAUUAUUGGGCGUAAAGAGCUCGUAGGCGGUUUGUCGCGUCUGCCGUGAAAGUCCGGGGCUCAACUCCGGAUCUGCGGUGGGUACGGGCAGACUAGAGUGAUGUAGGGGAGACUGGAAUUCCUGGUGUAGCGGUGAAAUGCGCAGAUAUCAGGAGGAACACCGAUGGCGAAGGCAGGUCUCUGGGCAUUAACUGGCGCUGAGGAGCGAAAGCAUGGGGAGCGAACAGG
rnacentral:rRNA from 1 species